GGUGUAGCUCAGCUGGUUAGAGCACACGGCUCAUAUCCGUGUUGUCCGGGGUUCAAGUCCCUGCACCGCCACCA
rnacentral:tRNA from 1 species